AUGGCUCAGGAUGAACGCUAGCUACAGGCUUAACACAUGCAAGUCGAGGGGCGAUCAUGACGAUAGUUGCUAUGUUGAUGGCGACCGGCGCACGGGUGAGUAACGCGUAUCCAACCUUCCCUAUAGUAGAGGAUAGCCCGGCGAAAGUCGGAUUAAUACUCUAUGUUUUCCAAUGCAGACAUCUAAGUUGGAACAAAGGUUCACCGCUAUAGGAUGGGGAUGCGUCUGAUUAGAUUGUAGGCGGGGUAACGGCCCACCUAGUCGACGAUCAGUAGGGGUUCUGAGAGGAAGGUCCCCCACAUUGGAACUGAGACACGGUCCAAACUCCUACGGGAGGCAGCAGUGAGGAAUAUUGGUCAAUGGGCGAGAGCCUGAACCAGCCAAGUAGCGUGCAGGAUGACGGCCCUAUGGGUUGUAAACUGCUUUUAUCGGGGGAUAAAGUGAGGGACGUGUCCCUUAUUGUAGGUACCCGAUGAAUAAGGACCGGCUAAUUCCGUGCCAGCAGCUGC
rnacentral:rRNA from 1 species